CCCUGUACUCCCUGUAAUCUCAUCCUGUGUGUGAUUGCAGGGAACUCAUCAGAAAAGAGUCUUCUUCAAAGACUCCCAGCAUGAUGGCAAAUAAAAAUCAGCUGCCAGUCACAGAGGAAAUAUGUUCCUGCAGCAAUCAAGUUCCAACCUCUGGACUUGCCACACUCCUGAGGCUCUGCAUGUGACUCCCGAAUUCCUCCAGAGGGUACCCAGGUUGGAGGUGGGGUGCUGCUCCUUUCUAUUUGCUUCUGCAGAUGCCAACACAAUGCUGUUGCAUUAAUGUGUCUGGGAAAGGGAAAAAAUGGUGGU
rnacentral:lncRNA from 1 species